UACGGAGGGGGCUAGCGUUGUUCGGAAUUACUGGGCGUAAAGCGCGCGUAGGCGGCUUUGUAAGUUAGAGGUGAAAGCCCGGAGCUCAACUCCGGAACUGCCUUUAAGACUGCAUCGCUAGAAUUGUGGAGAGGUAAGUGGAAUUCCGAGUGUAGAGGUGAAAUUCGUAGAUAUUCGGAAGAACACCAGUGGCGAAGGCGACACGCUGGGCCGUACCUGACACUGAUGCGCGACAGCAUGGGGAGCAAACAGG
rnacentral:rRNA from 1 species